UACGUAGGGGGCAAGCGUUGUCCGGAAUUAUUGGGCGUAAAGAGCGCGUAGGCGGUCCGAUAAGUCGGCUGUGAAAGUCAGGGGCUCAACCCUUGAAAGCCGGCCGAUACUGUCGGACUAGAGUCCGGAAGAGGCAAGUGGAAUUCCCGGUGUAGCGGUGAAAUGCGCAGAUAUCGGGAGGAACACCAAUGGCGAAGGCAGCUUGCUGGGACGGUACUGACGCUGAGGCGCGAAAGCGUGGAGAGCAAACAGG
rnacentral:rRNA from 1 species